GUCGCUUCUCGAUCUCGUGGCUGAGAUCAAAGUGAAGUAUCUGGGUUGUGUUUUUUUUUACAGUUUAACAUUUUGUUCACACCUGGAGAAUAUACCAGAUAUUAAAGAGAUUUUUGAAACUAGGAGAUGGAUUUGUGGCUUGCUCCACGCACUGAACCGGGAAUUGCAGUGUUUCCAGGUACAGUGCCAUUUCU